GAAAGAGUGGCAUAGCGGUUUGAGUGUUGGACUACAACUCUGGAGACCUGGGUUUGAUUCCCAGCUGGGCCA